rnacentral:rRNA from 1 species
ACACGACUACAUUAGAUACCCGUGUAGUCCCAGCCCUAAACGAUGCGCGUUAGGUGUAUCGGUGACCACGAGUCACCGAGGUGCCGAAGGGAAACCGUGAAACGUGCCGCCUGGGAAGUACGGUCGCAAGGCUGAAACUACAAAGGAAUUGGCGGGGGAGCACCACAACGGGUGGAGCCUGCGGUUUAAUUGGACUCAACGCCGGGAAGCUCACCGGAUAAGACAGCGGAAUGAUUGCCGGGCUGAAGACCCUGCAUGACCAUCUG